rnacentral:rRNA from 1 species
CCUACGGGAGGCUGCAGUGGGGAAUAUUGGACAAUGGGGGGAACCCUGAUCCAGCCAUGCCGCGUGAGGGAAGAAGGUCCUCUGGAUUGUAAACCUCUUUUGGCGGGGGACAAACCUGCACUAUACGUGCAGCUGAGGGUACCCGCAGAAUAAGCACCGGCUAACUCCGUGCCAGCAGCCGCGGUAAUACGGAGGGUGCAAGCGUUGUCCGGAUUUAUUGGGUUUAAAGGGUGCGUAGGCGGUCGAAUAAGUCAGCGGUGAAAUCCUCCGGCUCAACUGGAGAACUGCCGUUGAUACUGUUUGACUUGAGUUCGUCCGAGGUCGCUGGAAUGCGUGGUGUAGCGGUGAAAUGCAUAGAUAUCACGCAGAACACCGAUUGCGAAGGCAGGUGACUGGGACGCGACUGACGCUGAGGCACGAAAGUGUGGGGAGCAAACAGGAUUAGAUACCCCGGUAGUC